rnacentral:rRNA from 1 species
UGCCAGCCGCCGCGGUAAUACGUAGAGUGCAAACGUUGUUCGGAAUCACUGGGCAUAAAGAGCUCGUAGGCGGCCCGGUAAGUCGGUUGUGAAAGCCCCUGGCUCAACCAGGGAAUUGCAGCCGAAACUGCCAGGCUUGAGUGUGGGAGGGGAGAGUGGAACUUCCAGUGGAGCGGUGAAAUGCGUAGAUAUUGGAAGGAACGCCAGUGGCGAAAGCGACUCUCUGGCCCACUACUGACGCUGAGGAGCGAAAGCUAGGGUAGCGAACGGGAUUAGAUA